UGGAUGACCCGAGGUGCAGAGCGGUCUGGAGGACUCCCAUAUCUGCUUCAGCCCUCUCGGUCAUCCUCC
rnacentral:precursor_RNA from 1 species